AGCGAACGCUGGCGGCAGACCUAACACAUGCAAGUCGAACGAAGCCUUCGGGCUUAGUGGCGGACGGGUGAGUAACACGUGGGAACGUACCUUUUGGUUCGGAACAACUCAGGGAAACUUGAGCUAAUACCGGAUGAGCCCUUAGGGGGAAAGAUUUGUCGCCGAAAAAGCGGCCCGCGUUAGAGUAGCUAGUUGGUGAGGUAAAGGCUAACCAAGGCAACGAUCUAUAGCUGGUCUGAGAGGAUGAUCAGCCACACUGGGACUGAGACACGGCCCAUACUCCUACGGGAGGCAGCAGUGGGGAAUCUUGCGCAAUGGGCGAAAGCCUGACGCAGCCAUGCCGCGUGAAUGAUGAAGGUCUUAGGAUUGUAAAAUUCUUUUACCAGGGACGAUAAUGACGGUACCUGGAGAAAAAGCCCCGGCUAACUUCGUGCCAGCCGCCGCCGUAAUAC
rnacentral:rRNA from 1 species